AAGCAUCAGCAGAAUGGGAAGGAGGUCCUUGCAGUAAGAGUGCCCAUCCGUAUUGCCAGAGGAGCAGAGCCACGGGUCGAGGAGCCGAGCGACAAGCUCAGGUGCUCUUCUGCUGGCCUUGUGGGCAAUGGCAGGGACUUCAGGGGUGGGCAUUUAAGCAUUGCCCUCUUCUCUUUUGAGGUGCCAGCCCGGUAACCUUUGGCAAGAAAUGAGCGUCCCAGGUGUGCCAUGCAGUGGGAGCUGCAAGCUGCACCUCUUGCUUGAGGCAGACACACAAGGAGUUG